UUUACACUAAAUUGUCCCAUUUGUUCACUAAUAUUUCCCACUAAUAAUCACAUGCAUGUGGCAUCAGUGCGACAAUCUUCUUAAUGGUGGAAGGAAAAAGAGUGAACACUUAAUUGUGUAUGCUAUUAGAAUUGGGUCUUAAGGGGACAAAAUGUGAGUGGCAAGUUAUUACAUAUUGAUACCAAUUGAUGAACGAAUAUAG
rnacentral:lncRNA from 1 species